rnacentral:sRNA from 2 species
CGCCCUGUCCUAGGGGAGUAGUCUCCCGCGAGCGCCACGCUCGCCCGGUUUGCGUCAACAUACUUGCUCCGCAGAGCAUGGCGUAAACGACCUUGGCCUACCCGGCCUCUGGUUUGACAAGACCUAUGACGCGUACACCCUUACCCGGGGCGGGGAGGUUGUUCGUGUCAUAGCCGUGUCAAC